AUCUUAUCAAGAGUGGCGGAGGGACUGGCCCAUCGAAGCCCGGCAACCGGUAUAUAUCAUACACGGUGCUAAUUCCAGCAGAGUAUCGGCUCUGGCAGAUAAGGA
rnacentral:ncRNA from 2 species